AUACAUGCAUGUACUAAGCCUUCGAUUGGCCCCUAGGCCAUUGAUUGACUAGUGAGUCACCACCGGUGCUCAGGAUGCCAAUCACUAGCAUGGUUUGUCGAGGCGAAAAUAGGGAUGCAUUCAUGGACAGGCAACUGUGGGUGUCUCUGGAUUCACCUCAUGAACAAGGACUUAUCAUCUACCAUAUGGUUGAAAGGGCAU
rnacentral:lncRNA from 1 species